UACAGAGGGUGCAAGCGUUAAUCGGAAUUACUGGGCGUAAAGCGCACGUAGGCGGUUUUUUAAGUCAGAUGUGAAAGCCCCGGGCUCAACCUGGGAAUUGCAUUUGAAACUGGGGAACUAGAGUGUGUGAGAGGGGGGUAGAAUUCCAAGUGUAGCGGUGAAAUGCGUAGAGAUUUGGAGGAAUACCAGUGGCGAAGGCGGCCCCCUGGCACAACACUGACGCUCAGGUGCGAAAGCGUGGGGAGCAAACAGG
rnacentral:rRNA from 1 species